GCGCCCGUAGCUCAGCUGGAUAGAGCAACGGAUUUCUAAUCCGUAGGUCGCAGGUUCGAAUCCUGCCGGGCGUG
rnacentral:tRNA from 1 species